rnacentral:rRNA from 1 species
GCCGGCGACCGGCGCACGGGUGAGUAACGCGUAUCCAACUUCCCCCUUAGUAGGGCAUAGCCCGUAGAAAUGCGGAUUAAUACCCUAUGUUAUUCGUCGAGGACAUCUGAAGUGAAUCAAAGGUUUACCGCUAAGGGAUGGGGAUGCGUCUGAUUAGGCAGCAGGCGGGGUAACGGCCCACCUGGCCGACGAUCAGUAGGGGUUCUGAGACGGAAGGUCCCCCACAUUGGAACUGAGACACGGUCCAAACUCCUACGGGAGGCAGCAGUGAGGAAUAUUGGUCAAUGGUCGAGAGACUGAACCAGCCAAGUUAAGCGUGCAGGACGACGGCCCUAUGGGUUGUAAACUGCUUUUAUGCGGGGAUAAAGUGAGGGACGUUGUCCCUUUUUGUAGGUACCGCAUGGAUAAGGACCGGCUAAUUCCGUGCCAGCCGCUGC